UCUGUCUUUUUUUAUCUUUUAAAAUUCCCCACAAAAUAAAAAAUUUUCUUUUACAGAAUGCUUGCUUGUCUGAUAAGUUUGUGAGUUUUAGGUGGAAAGUAUUUAAGCCCAAAAGACGAAACAAAUCUCUCAAAGAACAUAAAAAGUAGACCUCCCAUGGUUAUCACCAAAGAAGCUUUUUGGCUCAAAGAACAUAAAAAGUAGAUCUCCCAUGUUUAUCACUAAAGAAGCUUUGGACUCCAUUCUUUCCCACCAAAAUCCAAAGCGAACACUUCCUAUGCCCUCUCCCGAUCGUCUCCCCCACAAUUUCCAGCCCAAUGCGUCAAAGCCUCGCCGUUCAGCCUCAUUCCUCUCCUCAUGCUCUUUUGGUUUUCUUCUCCAUCUCUUCCCUACAUAGACGUCAAAGUUGUGACCCAUUUCCCCCAAAAUUCCGCCAUAAGCUUACCUGCAACUCAUGCAAGCUACUUGCUCUUUUGCUCCACCACCUGCAAACUCUAGCCUCCAUGGACGGCACUACCUUGACUCUUUACAGAACCUCGCGUCUCUGGUUUAGCUGCAAAAUAUUAGAUAGCCCUGGUAGCAGCGUCAUGCUUAUGGUGCGUGCGGGUGCUUUGGGACCCCAUUAGAUCCGGUGUGAAGAAAGUGACUAUUUGGAACAGAACGGAGGAAAGGGCAAAAAAUGCAGGGCUGGACGGGGUCUCUACUUGAAGAGUUGUGGAACUCUGGAUUAUGCAAUUGUGUGUGCAACCAACUCAGAGGUUCCUCUGAUGAAAGUAAGAUUGCAUGAAGUCGAAUUUGGAGCUUCUUGUUCGAAUCUGGUGGGAUUGAUUAACGGGGGGUUGGUGAGAAGAAGGAAUAGGUAGGAAAUAACUGCGUUCAGAUCUGUUGUUGGCUCUGCAGUGUCGGACCUUGUUGCGAGAGGAGCAUCCGAGAGUUUUUCAAGCUUCCUUUGAUCAACAGGUGAUUCCUCUUUACUCCUGUUUUCUUGCUUGAUUUUCUGUUUAAUUUUGAACUUGACGACCAAUUUAGAUUAAAUCCUUUAAUAGAAAAUCAAAAAAUCUUUUGGGAGAU